rnacentral:misc_RNA from 1 species
GUAGGUGAACCUGCGGAAGGAUCAUUACCGAGUGAGGGCCCUCUGGGUCCAACCUCCCACCCGUGUUUAACGAACCUUGUUGCUUCGGCGGGCCCGCCUCACGGCCGCCGGGGGGCAUCCGCCCCCGGGCCCGCGCCCGCCGAAGACACCUGUGAACACUGUCUGAAGUUGCAGUCUGAGAAACUAGCUAAAUUAGUUAAAACUUUCAACAACGGAUCUCUUGGUUCCG